AUGAUUGUAUACUUCCCUACCCCUUACCCUGUAGCCGUACCGCGUCCGACUUUGUCAUCGAGUUUUCAUCUACAUGAUUCUGUGGUCAUUGGAGAAUUCGAUCUGUGAACGUGAGAAGCGCAUCUAUGUAAUGUUUGUAUUCGUGUUGCUAGCUCCGAUUCAUUUUGUUGACAUCGUUCGUCAUCGUUUCCGUUUUUCUGUGUUUUUCUGUUCAGCUCCGAAAUGACUUUGGCGUAGUUAAAAAGCAAAUUUCUAAAAACAUAUAGUUGCUCAACAGAGUGAACAUGGACGAAGAAAAUUUACAGAAAGCUGUUAAGAUUUUAAAACUGCAGCAUAUUGCUCUAAGUUCAUUAAUGCAUGCAAAGUUAAUCAGAAAAAUGCAGAAAAAAUUAAGAAGAUGGUGGGUCAAGCCGCAUCUUUUAUCAGAAAUAAGAAAUGCUGUGGGAGCAUACGCAAUGGUAUGCCAGUAUUUCCACUCGUUUUAUUUUAACAUUAUUGUUUGAUUUUAUAAUUUUCAAUAAUAUGAGUUUUAUUAAUAAAUGUUCAAGAUUCAAGAAGUUCUUACAAUGAUUUUCUUUUAUUUUCAUUUAUUUGUAUUAUUUAAGGUAUUGAUUUAAUUAUUUCUUAAAAUCUCUAUUGAAUUAUCAAAAUAUAAACGGUAUAUUUUUAUAAAUUGAAUAAAAAUCUUUAAUUAAUCUCUUCAUAAUUUUUUUAUAAAAUUACUUUAUUAUUAUACAAUAUGUAUACAAUAUCUUUUCAAAUAUAAUUUCGUUGCCAAGGAACUGCACCUUCGUUGCAGAAAUAUUCUGCUAAAUUGUGUCUGACCUCGCCACCAUUGUUACUAUGUUGAUUUUGUCUAUUACUUGUGAUGAGAAAGUUAUGUAAACAUAAGCAUGCACUUAUGAUAUAUCUACUAGUGAUUAGAUUGAAACGUAAAGCAUUGUUUAAUAAUUGCCAUUUUGAACACAAUAUUCCAAAUGCACACUCUAUUGUAAAUCUUGCACGACUAAGCCUGUAAUUAAAUAUUUUUUCUCUUUCAGUGCGCAAUAAUUUUCUAUUAUAUGGGUUCAUUAAAUUCUUUCCAAGUCCAAAUAUUUCAUCAGAGAUAAAUACAAAUGGUGAAAAUCUAUCACUACUUGGUAACUGUGUUGGUGCAGGUAUAUGUAACUCAUCAUUUGAGAGUUUUUCAUUAAAACUGCAAUCACUGAAAACGCUGGCAUCACUGAAUGAACCUAAAAAUUUAAGAGAUUAUUUCAUUAUUGUACUAUUCAUUAUAUCACUUUUAUAACUUUA